rnacentral:rRNA from 1 species
GACGAACGCUGGCGGCGUGCCUAAUACAUGCAAGUCGAACGCUUCUUUCCUCCCGAGUGCUUGCACUCAAUUGGAAAGAGGAGUGGCGGACGGGUGAGUAACACGUGGGUAACCUACCCAUCAGAGGGGGAUAACACUUGGAAACAGGUGCUAAUACCGCAUAACAGUUUAUGCCGCAUGGCAUAAGAGUGAAAGGCGCUUUCGGGUGUCGCUGAUGGAUGGACCCGCGGUGCAUUAGCUAGUUGGUGAGGUAACGGCUCACCAAGGCCACGAUGCAUAGCCGUCCUGAGAGGGUGAUCGGCCACACUGGGACUGAGACACGGCCCAGACUCCUACGGGAGGCAGCAGUAGGGAAUCUUCGGCAAUGGACGAAAGUCUGACCGAGCAACGCCGCGUGAGUGAAGAAGGUUUUCGGAUCGUAAAACUCUGUUGUUAGAGAAGAACAAGGACGUUAGUAACUGAACGUCCCCUGACGGUAUCUAACCAGAAAGCCACGGCUAACUACGUG